CAAUAGCGUAUAUUAAAGUUGUUGCGGUAAAAAAGCUCGUAGUUGGAUUUCUACCGAAGAUAGCCGGUCGGGUCUUCGACCUUGUAUCUGGUUUUGGCUUUGGUAUCCUCAUAGGGAACGUUUCUGCGCUUUAUUGCGUGGUGCGGUAUCUAUGACUUUUACUUUGAGGAAAUUAGAGUGUUCACGGCAGGCAAACGCCUUGAAUAUAUUAGCAUGGAAUAAUAACAUAGGAUCUUCGUCCUAUUUUGUUGGUUUCUAGGGCUAAGAUAAUGAUUAAUAGGGAUAAUUGGGGGCAUCUGUAUCAACGCGUCAGAGGUGGAAUUCUUGGAUUGCGUUGCGACAAACUACUGCGAAAGCAUUUGCCAAGGAUGUUUUCAUUGA
rnacentral:rRNA from 1 species